UGCAGCCUUGUCAAAUUCAGUGUGUUCUUUUCAGUGGACUUCACUGGCCAAAAUGGCUGCCACAGAGAUUGUAGUUCAUGGGCCCCACAUCCUUACACCGUGGGAAGUGGGGAUAAAUAUGUACUACAGACAAGU
rnacentral:snoRNA from 1 species